rnacentral:lncRNA from 1 species
AGUAGCAACAGGGUUUUGCCAUGUUGCCCAGGCUGGUCUAAAACUCCUGGACUCAAACAAUCCACCCCCCUCGGCCUCUCAAACUGCUGGGAUUACAGGCAUAAGCCACCACGCCAAGCCAGAAUAUGCAUUUUUUUUUUUUUGAGAUGGAGUCUCGCUGUGUUGCUCAGGUUGGAGUGCAGUGGCGCAAUUUUGGCUCACUGCAACCUCCGCUUCCUGCGGUCAAGCAAUUCUCCUGCCUCAGCCUCCCAAGUAACUGGGAUUACAGGCGCCUGCUGCCACGCCCAGCUAAUUUUGUAUUUUUAGUAGAGAUGGGGUUUCACCAUGUUGGGCAGGCUCGUCUCAGAACUCCUGACCUCUGGUGAUCUGCCUGCCUCGGCCUCCCAAAGUGCUGGGAUUACAGGCGUGAGCCACCACCCCCAGCAAGAAUAUGGAUUUUUAAAAGUUUCCAAAACUGUGGAAAUGGCCAGUCCAUUGCCCACACUUUCUGUGCACUUCUGCAGACCUCCAACGAGGGCCAGCGCAGUGCCAGAGCCCAGCAACCCAGCAAGGGAAUGAAUUUGCUCUAACUAUGGAGGGACAGUCUUCGGAAGUGGAGUUCUUAAGGACCAUCAUUCCUUUCUUUCAAUGAGAUGCCAGACUGCUGAGAAGGUGAGCAAUGCUGCAGGCGGCUCAUAGGGCAGCCCACAGGUAGGCCUGGGGCAAGACUAGCCAUGGGGCUUCACAGCCUCCACAAAAAAGGAGAUGGAUUCCCUUCUGCACUGUCAGAGGAAGCUAAAUGUAGAGCUCUGGGAGAGAAGAUGCUGGUCUCAAAGCCAUAGCUUGAGAUACCAUAGCUUGAGAUAUCAUAGCUUGAGACCAGGCUCAGACAUGCACUCUGAGUAAUGUGAAGGGGCAGCAUAGAGGCUCAGGAACUGCACAAAGCUGAGUCUGCAUCCCAGCUCUGCCUUUAUUAGCUGGGUGACCUUGAGCAAGUCACUUCACCUCUCUGAGCUCCAAUUUCCUCAUUGGUAAAAUGGGUAUAACACCACCUACCUUGCAGGGUGUUUAUGAAUUCUCUUUAUUUAUUUAUUUAUUUGAGACAGGGUCUCGCUCUGUCACCCAGGCUGGAGUACAGUGGCAUAAUCUUGGCUCAUUGCAACCUCCGCCUCCCAGGUUCAAGUGAUUCUCGUGCUUCAGCCUGCUGAGUAGCUGGGACUAGAGGUGCCACCACACGCAGCUAAUUUUUCUUUUUUUUUUUGAGAUGGAGUUUCACUCUUGUUGCCUAGGCUGGAGUGCAAUGGUGCGGUCUCAACUCAUUGCAAACUCCACCUCCCAGGUUCAAGCAAUUCUCCUGCCUCAGUCUCCCGAGUAGCUGGGAUUACAGACGCCUGGCCUCUAAUUUUUGUAUUUUUAGUAGAGAUGGGGUUUCACCAUGUUGGCCAGGCUGGUCUCAAACUCCUGACCUCAGGUGAUCCUCCCACCUCGGCCUCUCAAAGUGCUGGGAUUACAGGCAUGAGCCACAGUGCACAGCCUGCUGUUUUUUUUUUUUUAUUUUGUUUUGUUUUUGAGACAGGGUUUUACUCCUGUCACCCAGGCUGGAGUAUAAUGGUGUGAACUCAGCUCACUGAAAUGUCCACCUCCCAGCCUCAAGCAAUUCUCCUGCCUUAGCCUCCCAAGUAGCUGGGACUACAGGGGCAUGCCAGGGCACCCAGCUAAUUUUUUUGCAUUUUUUGUACAGACGGGGUUUCACCAUGUUGCCCAGGCUGGUCUCGAACUGAACUCGAGUGAUCCACUGGCUUCGCCCUCCCGAGGUGCUGAGAUUACAGGUAUGAGCCACUGCGCCCGUCAUCUCCCUUGCAUUUCUAUCAUCAUCUUCCAACUCAGGGAGGACUGUGAUUCUAUUCUCUCUGAGUCUCCCCCCAUGAAUUAUCUCUGACUCUGACUUACCUACCCUUCCCCCAUCCCCUUGUCCCUUUCCCUCUCUCUGAUCCUCCACUUCCUCUCCACUAUCUAAUUCUACCCUAACUGCCACCUCCUGACCUGGCCCUGACCCAGGGGCUGGGGAGCUGGCACUCACCCCACAGUCAGUGGCCACCGUGUACUCAAAGUGGAACACCAGGGACCAGAUGAUGCAGAAGAAGAAGCCGAACACAGGAAAAGUGAUGGCCCACCAGACCAUGGCUGUGAAGCGAAGCCGGAACAAGGUCCCAUCGGGGUCCAAAGGCUGGGAGGCCGCAGAGAACAUCCUGCAGGGCGUGGCCUAAGCAGCACGAGGGAUACAACUUGGGGCCUGGUAGGACACCUGGGUCUGGGAAAGUGGGGCCUUUUCCAGAGAUGGCUCCUCAGAGUAUAAGGAAAAGCCAGAGCAGAAAGGGUAGAAAAGGCAUAAGGGGAAAAGGAAGACAGUGCAGAGGAGAAGGAUCAGAGGGAGAUGGGGCAGGAGCAGCAGAGACAGGCAGGGUCAGAGCUUAGGAAUCCCCCUGGCACAGUGAUACUCUAGGUCCACCUCUUGAAGAGCCUACAGAAGAGAGGCUCCCGGUGGCUUGGACAGGGAGCUCUGGUGGCCCACCUCACUCUCACAACCCUCAUAGCCACUCAGGAGAAGGGUCAGAGGUAGAAAGGUUAUUAUUCCCAUUUCACAGAAGGGGAGACUGAGGCCCAGAACUAUGCCAGGAUCAAACACCAGGACUAAGGCCUCUUGCCACCUGACAGCUUCAGGUUCUAAGUCAUGGCUUCUUUCAGGCCAACUAACAAAGGACCGUUGGCUCAGAAUGGCCAAAGCCCUCCCACUGACCCUGUCUGACCACAUUCCUGUUCCUUACCCAAGUUCAACUAGGAACAGAGGGAGUGCCCCAGAGCCU